rnacentral:rRNA from 1 species
AGGCAGCAGUGGGGGAAUAUUGCACAAUGGGCGCAAGCCUGAUGCAGCCAUGCCGCGUGUAUGAAGAAGGCCUUCGGGUUGUAAAGUACUUUCAGCAGUGAGGAAGGUGGGUAUGUUAAUAGCAUACUCAUUUGACGUUAGCUGCAGAAGAAGCACCGGCUAACUCCGUGCCAGCAGCCGCGGUAAUACGGAGGGUGCGAGCGUUAAUCGGAAUUACUGGGCGUAAAGCGCAUGCAGGUGGUUUGUUAAGUCAGAUGUGAAAGCCCGGGGCUCAACCUCGGAAUUGCAUUUGAAACUGGCAAACUAGAGUACUGUAGAGGGGGUAGAAUUUCAGGUGUAGCGGUGAAAUGCGUAGAGAUCUGAAGGAAUACCGGUGGCGAAGGCGGCCCCCUGGACAGAUACUGACACUCAGAUGCGAAAGCGUGGGGAGCAAACAGGAUUAGAUACCCUGGUAG